UACGGAAGGGGCUAGCGUUGGCUCGGAAUUGACUGGCGUAAAGCGCACGUAGGCGGCUUUCUAAGUCGGGGGUGAAAUCCUGGAGCUCAACUCCAGAACUGCCUUCGAUACUGGAGAGCUCGAGUCCGGGAGAGGUGAGUGGAACUGCGAGUGUAGAGGUGAAAUUCGUAGAUAUUCGCAAGAACACCAGUGGCGAAGGCGGCUCACUGGCCCGGUACUGACGCUGAGGUGCGAAAGCGUGGGGAGCAAACAGG
rnacentral:rRNA from 1 species